rnacentral:tRNA from 1 species
GCGUGGGUAGUAUAGUGGUUAGUAUACGGCGUUGCCAACGCUGUGACCCGGGUUCAAGUCCCGGCCUGCGCA